rnacentral:tRNA from 1 species
CAAACCGGAUCGCCCUGACGCCGACUAGCUAGCCCGCUUAUCCAAAAACAACAAAUCACUAUCAAUACCCCCUAAU